UUUUUGUUAUAAAAUGUUCAAUAAUAUCAUAUCAUAUAAUAUUGACAUAUCAUAAAAUGUUUUUAUUAAAAAAAUAUGUCCAGAUUUAUUUUAAAUGUAUUUAUUCUGAAUAUUUUAAUUUAUAGAAUCUCUGCUUUGUAUUAUCUUUACCAUACACAGGUUUGAAGAAUAUCAGAGUAACAGAAGCGUAUCAAAUAAUCCACAACAUCCUUCAGUCUCACAGUUCAUGGAAACCUUUGUUGGGCAGUACAGUGCUGGUCACCUUCACCCACUAAUUCAAUACUGUCUGACUUAUAGUUAUUGAUUGCAACCUACCUCUGUCUAUUGUGGAAAACAAGAGUUUUCGGCACUUUCUCUCAGAGGUUCACCAGAAGUACACCACAGUAUAUCGCAGAACAUUGUCCUCAAAAGUGGAAAAUCUUGCUGUGGAGUGAUGCAUGAAGCUAAAAACUGUGUUGAGCAACGCACAAAAUGUGGAUAUUUGGUCCGAUAGAAACAUUUUUUUGGGGAGUAACCGUACACUUCAUUGAGGCAGCUGAUGAGAAGAUGAAGCUUAAGUUGAAUUUACUGGCCUGCAACCGUUUCAAAGCUCCACACACCGGUGAAAGAAUCAGCAAUUUAAGGCCAUUUAUGAUGCUUUUAACAUUAAAGAUAAAUUAGACUACAUUAUAAAUGAUAAUGCAGCCAACAUAAAAAGAGCCUUCAAUGUUUGCUUCCCCACUGAACACAAAAAAGACAUGCAAGAUGAGCACCAACUUGAUGAUCCACAGCUCUGGAAUGACCUAAGUCAAGAGGAGCAGCAAUCCCUUAAUGCUGCUAUGGGAAGAAAACUGUGUCUUCAGUGUUUCGCCAAUACGCUUCAGCUUGUGGUGGGGGGAUGGUUUGAAAAAAGCAAAUAUGAUCUCACAUGCUCUCUCAAAAUGGUCCAAAAUCAGCUCAUUGCUUCACACAAGCACAACAUUCAAAGAAGUCUUUCCAUCUGAAUUUGGAGAAAAAAGCAUUCCAGCUGCUGUUAACACAAGAUGGAACUCAACACUGAGACAGGUACGAGCAGUAAUUGAAUGCGAUCAUCCAAGAUUCAGUUGUGUUCUGGAAAAGUCUGGACAUAAGGAGCUGUUCACAUCAAGGGAGUGGAUUCAGUUAAAGGAGAUGGUGGACAUCUUGAAGCCGUUUGCAGAGGCAACAGAUUUGACACCAUCAGCUCUGUUUUUCCAUCUGUUCUUUCUUUGA
rnacentral:lncRNA from 1 species